AGUGAACGCUGGCGGUAGGCCUAACACAUGCAAGUCGAACGGCAGCACAGUGAGAGCUUGCUCUUACGGGUGGCGAGUGGCGGACGGGUGAGGAAUACAUCGGAAUCUACUUUUUCGUGGGGGAUAACGUAAGGAAACUUACGCUAAUACCGCAUACGACCUACGGGUGAAAGCAGGGGAUCUUCGGACCCUGCGCGAUUGAAUGAGCCGAUGUCGGAUUAGCUAGUUGGCGGGGUAAAGGCCCACCAAGGCGACGAUCCGUAGCAGGUCUGAGAGGAUGAUCGGCCACACUGGAACUGAGACACGGUCCAGACUCCUACGGGAGGCAGCAGUGGGGAAUAUUGGACAAUGGGCGCAAGCCUGAUCCAGCCAUACCGCGUGGGUGAAGAAGGCCUUCGGGUUGUAAAGCCCUUUUGUUGGGAAAGAAAAGCAGCAGGUUAAUACCCCGCUGUUCUGACGGUACCCAAAGAAUAAGCACCGGCUAACUUCGUG
rnacentral:rRNA from 1 species